AGCCGGUGUGGCGCAGUGGUAGCGCAACUGAUUUGUAAUCAGUAGGUCGUGGGUUCGACCCCCACCGCCGGCUCCC
rnacentral:tRNA from 1 species